ensembl:miRNA
UGACCCCACCUCCACAGAGGGAGUUGUGAACAUGCACUUCUGUGUCGGUGGGUUUAGG